GGAACCGGGCUCCCUGCCAGCUCGGGCGACAGGCUGACGGUCCUCCUGCCGGGAUGCUAAUCCAGAAGGGAGAGGAAAGAAGAAGACUCCUGCCAUUUCAGUUAAGUGGAAUUAUUGGUUGUAAGAUCCAAGCUGAUUUCAGACAUAUUAAAACAUGAAUAAAACUUUGUCAUCGAAUCAGUAAUACAGGUGUGGCAGUGUGGCAUGCGGCAUUCAAGAUGGGGAACAACUUUGCUGAGUCCUUGCUGUCUAUUCCACCAAAGCAGCAACGUGUCCCGUUCAGCUCAUAUCCAGGAAAAGAUCCACACUGAAGUAACAUCUGUGACAAAUGAAGUCACGAGGUCUUCCAUGUACUGCUCUUUCCUUGUCUCAAGCACAUUCAUGUUAGAGGACAAAACCUCCCUAGAAGCAGCCAACCGAAAGGGUU